UACGGAUAGAGGACAGAGUUAAAAGGAGGACAAGUCAAGAGGACAGAGUUAAAAGGAGGAUACGGAUAGAGGACAGAGUUAAAAGGAGGAUACGGAUAGAGGACAGAGUUAAAAGGAGGAUACGGAUAGAGGGCAGAGUUAAAAGGAGGAUACGGAUAGAGGACAGAGUUAAAAGGAGGAUACGGAUAGAGGACAGAGUUAAAAGGAGGAUACGGAUAGAGGACAGAGUUAAAAGGAGGAUACGGAUAGAGGACAGAGUUAAAAGGAGGACAAGUCAAGAGGACAGAGUUAAAAGGAGGAUACGGAUAGAGGACAGAGUUAAAAGGAGGAUACGGAUAGAGGACAGAGUUAAAAGGAGGAUACGGAUAGAGGGCAGAGUUAAAAGGAGGAUACGGAUAGAGGGCAGAGUUAAAAGGAGGAUACGGAUAGAGGACAGAGUUAAAAGGAGGAUACGGAUAGAGGACAGAGUUAAAAGGAGGAUACGGAUAGAGGACAGAGUUAAAAGGAGGAUACGGAUAGAGGACAGAGUUAAAAGGAGGACACGUCAAGAGGACAGAGUUAAAAGGAGGAUACGGAUAGAGGGCAGAGUUAAAAGGAGGAUACGGAUAGAGGACAGAGUUAAAAGGAGGAUACGGAUAGAGGGCAGAGUUAAAAGGAGGACACGUCAAGAGGACAGAGUUAAAAGGAGGAUACGGAUAGAGGACAUAGUUAAAAGGAGGAUACGG